UCCCCAACCAUCCCCCAACCCCACCUCGCGAAAAUCACCAUGGCCCUCUCCCUAUAGACGGCGGCGAAUUCGCAGGGAGCAUAGGACCUACCCCACCUCGCAACCUCACCGCCGCAGCCAGCAUAAACCCGUCUUCAUGCCCUAGCCUCUAGAAGCUCCUCCGCAGGCGGAAAUCACUGGGUGCGUCCCCUCUCUCUCUCAAUUGAGAUACACGGUUAGGAGAAUACUGUCCAGCUUUCAGCCAUAUGGAUUAACAGAAAGUAGAUGCAGGGGUCAGACCAUUAAAUCCGACAUUUUCAGUAUAAUAGGAAAUCAGAUUGGUCUGGAGGGGGCUGUCAGCAACAUGUGUGCCCAACAUUUAGUAAGCUGUCUAUAUGGAAGUUAUGCAUGUUCUCAUAGAUGCACCUUCGAGAGGGAAAGAGAGUCAAACCUGCUAUAUGUACUUGCUAUUGAGUUGUACACUUCAAAACGUUAAGGGGCAUGUAACUAGCAGUUUAAUAUA